CGAUACAUAGGGGGACUGAGAGGUUAACCCCCCACACUGGUACUGAGACACGGACCAGACUCCUACGGGAGGCAGCAGUGAGGAAUAUUGGUCAAUGGACGCAAGUCUGAACCAGCCAUGCCGCGUGCAGGAUGACGGCUCUAUGAGUUGUAAACUGCUUUUGUACGAGGGUAAACGCAGAUACGUGUAUCUGUCUGAAAGUAUCGUACGAAUAAGGAUCGGCUAACUCCGUGCCAGCAGCCGCGGUAAUACGGAGGAUUCAAGCGUUAUCCGGAUUUAUUGGGUUUAAAGGGUGCGUAGGCGGUUUGAUAAGUUAGAGGUGAAAUUUCGGGGCUCAACCCUGAACGUGCCUCUAAUACUGUUGAGCUAGAGAGUAGUUGCGGUAGGCGGAAUGUAUGGUGUAGCGGUGAAAUGCUUAGAGAUCAUACAGAACACCGAUUGCGAAGGCAGCUUACCAAACUAUAUCUGACGUUGAGGCACGAAAGCGUGGGGAGCAAACAGGAUUAGAUACCCUGGUAGUCCACGCAGUAAACGAUGAUAACUCGUUGUCGGCGAUACACAGUCGGUGACUAAGCGAAAGCGAUAAGUUAUCCACCUGGGGAGUACGUUCGCAAGAAUGAAACUCAAAGGAAUUGACGGGGGCCCGCACAAGCGGAGGAACAUGUGGUUUAAUUCGAUGAUACGCGAGGAACCUUACCCGGGCUUGAAAGUUAGCGACGAUUCUUGAAAGAGGAUUUCCCUUCGGGGCGCGAAACUAGGUGCUGCAUGGUUGUCGUCAGCUCGUGCCGUGAGGUGUCGGGUUAAGUCCCAUAACGAGCGCAACCCCUACCGUUAGUUGCCAUCAGGUCAAGCUGGGCACUCUGGCGGGACUGCCGGUGUAAGCCGAGAGGAAGGUGGGGAUGACGUCAAAUCAGCACGGCCCUUACGUCCGGGGCUACACA
rnacentral:rRNA from 1 species